rnacentral:rRNA from 1 species
UACGGAGGGUGCAAGCGUUAUCCGGAUUCACUGGGUUUAAAGGGUGCGUAGGUGGGCAGUUAAGUCAGUGGUGAAAUCUCCGGGCUUAACCCGGAAACUGCCAUUGAUACUAUCUGUCUUGAAUACCGUGGAGGUGAGCGGAAUAUGUCAUGUAGCGGUGAAAUGCUUAGAUAUGACAUAGAACACCAAUUGCGAAGGCAGCUCACUACACGAAUAUUGACACUGAGGCACGAAAGCGUGGGGAUCAAACAGGA